GACAAAACGAAAUUACAAGAGAAAGAAAGAAGAGAAGAGAAGAGAAAUUAAGGCUAGAAACAAGGAAAGAGCUACGAUUUUGGGAGGAGAAAAAGGCAGCCCAAAACGUUACCAAACAGUCCCUAAGUUUCAGCUGCGCUAAAGGAAAUUCCGAGGCAAGUUUUGGCGAGUUUUGGUGAAUUUCGGGAAAGGUUCAAGAGACGACGAGGCGAGCAUAGUUAAGAGUAAUCCGUAAGAGGUACAGAUGAUUGGUUUGCUGAUCCGCUUGCUUAGGACAUCCACCAUGUUGGUCGACAGUGCUCCUUUGUCCGAAG